rnacentral:rRNA from 1 species
GACGAACGCUGGCGGCGUGCUUAACACAUGCAAGUCGAACGGUAAGGCCCUUCGGGGUACACGAGUGGCGAACGGGUGAGUAACACGUGGGUGAUCUGCCCUGCACUUCGGGAUAAGCCUGGGAAAUUGGGUCUAAUACCGGAUAGGACCACUGCCUGCAUGGGUGGUGGUGGAAAGCUUUUGCGGUGUGGGAUGGGCCCGCGGCCUAUCAGCUUGUUGGUGGGGUGAUGGCCUACCAAGGCGACGACGGGUAGCCGGCCUGAGAGGGUGACCGGCCACCCUGGGACUGAGAUACGGCCCAGACUCCUACGGGAGGCAGCAGUGGGGAAUAUUGCCCAAUGGGCGCAAGCCUGAUGCAGCGACGCCGCGUGAGGGAUGACGGCCUUCGGGUUGUAAACCUCUUUCAGCACCGACGAAGCGCAAGUGACGGUAGGUGCAGAAGAAGGACCGGCCAACUAUGUGCCAGCCGCCGCCGUAA